CAACUUCCUCUAUAUAGUAACCUGAAGGCAGUGGACAGGUAACACAGCUUCCUCUAUAUAGUAACCUGAAGGCAGUGGACAGGUAACACAGCUUCCUCUAUAUAGUAACCUGAAGGCAGUGGACGGUAACACAGCUUCCUCUAUAUAGUAACCUGAAGGCAGUGGACAG